rnacentral:rRNA from 1 species
GUGGGGAAUAUUGGACAAUGGGGGCAACCCUGAUCCAGCAAUGCCGCGUGUGUGAAGAAGGUCUUCGGAUUGUAAAGCACUUUCGACGGGGACGAUGAUGACGGUACCCGUAGAAGAAGCCCCGGCUAACUUCGUGCCAGCAGCCGCGGUAAUACGAAGGGGGCUAGCGUUGCUCGGAAUGACUGGGCGUAAAGGGCGUGUAGGCGGUUUGUACAGUCAGAUGUGAAAUCCCCGGGCUUAACCUGGGAGCUGCAUUUGAUACGUGCAGACUAGAGUGUGAGAGAGGGUUGUGGAAUUCCCAGUGUAGAGGUGAAAUUCGUAGAUAUUGGGAAGAACACCGGUGGCGAAGGCGGCAACCUGGCUCAUUACUGACGCUGAGGCGCGAAAGCGUGGGGAGCAAACAGGAUUAGAAACCCUAGUAGUCC